rnacentral:rRNA from 1 species
UACAGAGGUCUCAAGCGUUGUUCGGAUUCAUUGGGCGUAAAGGGUGCGUAGGCGGCGCGGUAAGUCGGAUGUGAAAUCUCGGAGCUUAACUUCGAAACUGCAUUCGAUACUGCCGUGCUUGAGGACUGGAGAGGAGACUGGAAUUUACGGUGUAGCGGUGAAAUGCGUAGAUAUCGUAAGGAAGACCAGUGGCGAAGGCGGGUCUCUGGGCAUUACCUGACGCUGAGGAGCGAAAGUGUGGGGAGCGAACAGG